CUAGCGUUGUUCGGAAUUACUGGGCUUAAAGCGCACGUAGGCGGCUUUGUAAGUCAGCGGUGAAAGCCUGGAGCUCAACUCCAGAACUGCCUUUGAGACUGCAUCGCUUGAAUCCAGGAGAGGUGAGUGGAAUUCCGAGUGUAGAGGUGAAAUUCGUAGAUAUUCGGAAGAACACCAGUGGCGAAGGCGGCUCACUGGACUGGUAUUGACGCUGAGGUGCGAAAGCGUGGGGAGCAAACAGG
rnacentral:rRNA from 1 species